rnacentral:RNase_P_RNA from 1 species
AGACCGAGCAAGACGACCGCUCCACGGGAUACCCGUACACCAUCUGUAAAGAUUGUAUAGUAAGAGGUACCUUCGCGGAGAGGAAAGUCCGAACACAGCCGAUCCCUUUGCCGGGUUCUUGGAGAAAGGUAGCGGGUAACGCCCGUCCGCCGCAAGGCGCGAGGUGCGAGCAGUGACGCCAAGCCCGAAAGGGUACGGCCUCCUUCGGGAGGAAUCAUGCGGAAACGUAUGAGUGAAACGGCUAAAUCCUUACCCCUGUGCAAGGCCGUGCCGAGCACCACGUGCUCGGAGCGCCGCUUGAGGUUGUCGGUAACGGCAAUCCCAGAUAGAUGGUCGUCCAGGCAUAUCGCCAGACAGAAUUCGGCUUAUCAGCUCGGUCUACUU